CUUUCUCAUCUCUCCCUCUCAUCUCCUGCGCUUCUCCCAUCUUUGAUUUGGAACUUUCCAUCUCCCAUCUCCAAAUCUCAUUCUCUCUCUUAUUUCUCUUCCUUUCUUCUCAUUCUCAGGGUUCUUAGAUCAAAUCUACAGCUACAGAUCGAGUAGGCCCGGUAACCUAUGGACGUGGUCAUCAACGGUGAAGAGAAAAGAAGAAAUCUGAGAAGGCACUUGAAGCUCAUGUAGAUUUUGUUCAAAUCCGGCCCUAUGACUAACUCAUUUAUUUUGUGCUGUUAUCAUCUUGGAUUGCUGCUAUUAAGGCAAUGCAUGAUGUUAUUUAUCUUCGCCAUCAUCUAGAGAAGGCAAGUUCAGUCCCUUCACCUUUUGGUCCAUUGUAUGAACUCAUUGUAAUAGAUAUUUGGUUCCUAGAGAGUCAAGAUUUCAGAAACUGUGGAAGCCCCGCUCUAUAUUAGGUAAUUGUGCCCUGUUUCAAUGGAAAAAAUGCAACCAAUUCAGAAACUGUGGAAGCCCCACUCUAUAUUAGGUGGAAAGCAGAAAGUCCAUCAAACUGGCUUCAAAUGACAAGUGAGCUCAUCUAUCAAAACAGAAAUGAGCAUGUUGCAAUCACUUAAUAAUGUCUCCCUUGCAGGUUCCAUUCUUGUUUCGACUUUGGCAUCACCAUUUACAUUAGCCGUGCAUUUGCUAAAUUUGCCAAAGCUUUAUUAUCUUUUUGCAGGUUGGUUCUUUAGAUCCUGGCAAACUCAUAAAAAUACUCAAAUCAUCAAUACCCAGUCUUGUGCUAUUUCAGUUCUUAGAAAGACAUUGAAAACUAAGAUAACUCUGAAAUGGGCAUUAGUACUGGUUAAGUGACUCAAACCCAAGACUGGUGAAUGCAAUUGCAAUAGCUUGGCUAUUGUGUUCAGUGAAUUGGUUUUCUCUUUAGGUAGACUUUUGCACUAAUAACUUCAUAUAUGUUUUUUUGUAUCCUUAUCAGAUUUUACAAGUUUUAAAGAACUGUCUAACUUUUAAGUGGGAGCAGAAAAUCAGUUGAGUUUGUUGUCCUGAUGUACUUUAAAGAGAAAAAGAAAAAAAAAAGAAAAAGAAAAGGUUGGACUGUCAAAAAGAAAUGGGUCAUCUGAUGUGUAUCGUAAUCUGCCUGUAGUACCGGAUUUAUGUCGAUCUUUAUUGAAUAAUAAUAAUAAUAAUAAUCUAUUUUUCCAUCAU